GUUAAGCGACUAAGCGUACACGGUGGAUGCCCUGGCAGUCAGAGGCGAUGAAGGACGUGCUAAUCUGCGAUAAGCGUCGGUAAGGUGAUAUGAACCGUUAUAACCGGCGAUUUCCGAAUGGGGAAACCCAGUGUGAUUCGUCACACUAUCAUUAACUGAAUCCAUAGGUUAAUGAGGCGAACCGGGGGAACUGAAACAUCUAAGUACCCCGAGGAAAAGAAAUCAACCGAGAUUCCCCCAGUAGCGGCGAGCGAACGGGGAGCAGCCCAGAGCCUGAAUCAGUGUGUGUGUUA
rnacentral:rRNA from 1 species